GUUUGUAAUAAUAAAUAAAGUCUGAUGGUAGUCCUUGAGGAUGCCAGUUGCUUUUUACCCUUUCCCCAGUCACCAUCCCUCUAAAUGUAGUAGACUGUUGCUAGGAUUGGAUCUUAUCUCUGGCCAUAUUGAAAUCUACCCCCCAACUCUUCAAACUUAGCUCUCUUCUUCUAUCAUGUAGGAUUGCACCUGACCUUUUGCCCACCUGGG
rnacentral:lncRNA from 1 species